rfam:Bacillus selenitireducens MLS10, complete genome.
AGGUGAUUUCUCCUGCACCUUUAUCAAUGGAGGAACUCGACUUUGCUGUGGGUCCCAAAGGGACCUUAGGUGCAGACAGUUACCGGCGGUGAAGUGUGAGGUGAGGUUGGAUGCCUU